UCUAGCCUGUCAAGUGCUAUGAUAUUUUUUGAAUGAGGAAACAAGCUCACAUUUUCCCCCUGAGGGCUUAGCGACAAAAGCCAAGGUUCAACUAAAAUUUUUUAAGACUCUUUUUUUUUUAAGCCGCAAACUAUGUUAUGCUUCCUCUCUAGCCUUUUUCCCCUUGAAACUGCGGGGAGAGGGGUGGGCAGGAGAACACUUUCUUUUGAGGCUAUACUGAUAACUGGUUAGGUAAAUUUGGCCAUUUUGGAAUGUACAAAAACAUUCAUUUGGUGCCCAUAAAAGUGGUGAAUGUGUUCAUUUACUCACCAAAGCUUACCAUUCCAUCAGUGAGGGAGGAUGUUUUACCUAAAUCUACAAGGCGAUGAGGGGCUGGCUAUGGGCGUGCACGUAGCUCAGCUGUGCUUCCUGUCCUCUGUUUGUUUUUCUUUCCCUGUGUACCUGCACAGGGUUGAAGAAGAGAGCAUGGGGUUAAAGGAUGAGGCAAGAGGGAGGAAGAGGCCAAGAGGAUGGGAAGAUGAUUGUGAUGAGUAUUUUCCUUCCCUUUAACAAAUAUUUCAAGUUUUGCCUGUUUGGAGAGAAGCCAGCUUGUUUUAACUUCAUUUUCCAGUGGGUGAUGCUUCCAUGAAUUUGAUUGAACUAGAGAACAAGAACGAGAGAGAGUCAAGGCUGAAACUGUUACGACUGCGGUCUAAGGAACGGAACAUUUGGCCUUGGUAGCUCAUCAGCUCAUGCAUCAGCUGGGUGCAAAGCAGUUUCUGAGGAGACUGCGCCCGGCCCACCGGUGCUCCCUGGUCCACCUCUAACCGCAGGCUUUUUAGGGAGGCAGAUUCCUGAAAACUGACACAUCUCAGCCUUCCAAUGAUGCCAUAGUCACAACCUCUUUGCAACAGGCAAAUCUGUGUCUUCAACACUAUUGAGAAACACUCCACAAAUCCUUCAGUGAGCCAGGACACUUAUGCCCUUGCUUAGAUCCAAAGCUAAUGACAUCUGUUUAUAAAGGGGAAAAAGAGAUCAUAAUUUUUUAAGUCAUGUUUUUCCAUGUGCGAUUGGAUUUUCUAUGUCAGCCUGAAAGCCACAUGCUUGCUAGACCACAACAGUGCAGAAGCGUGAGCCCCUGUCUGAGAAGAAGGAAAGGAUGAGGUCACCCCAGCAGUUAAGGACUGAAGGGAUUACAAGAUUUGAAGUGGGAUUUGGAAAAAUCUCUGGUGCUGUGAAUACUGGGGCUGUGAGCUGUCUCUUCACCUGGGCAGAGCCCCUCGCUCUCACCCCUCCAGUUACCGAUGCUGUGUUAUAGUAACUGCUCUCUUGGCUAAGACUGUGACAGGUUAUCUUUUGUCGUUUUUUCCACUCCAAGUUUCAAGGGCUUUUUCUGUGGAUCUUAUUUUUUUCCCUACUUUUCUUCAAAUCUUUUUGACAAGGUUUCAGAUGGUGAGCAAUCUUAAGUGGGGAGGGGUAUUAAAUGAAUGGUGCAUUUGGCAACCUGGAGCUACAAUGGAGAAGCAAUUAAGGAGGAGAGGAGGGGCCGCCAUCAUCUGGGGAUCACUUCAAGCCUCGAAAGCCUGCACAGCUGUGUUUGCCUUACUUACUUGUGCGAGACUGCAAACUAACAAGACUAAUAUUGAGAUUAUUUCACCAAAAUGGAACAUAUUUAUGGAGCAUCUAUUAUGUGUGAAGCAUCCUCCUGGACGUUGUAUAAAAUUGUAACAAUUAGUAGACCUUUCUUGACAGGGCACUUUCAAUCCAGCAAAAUCUUUGCAAAACAUGUGGUGGUCUUGUGCUCCGUCAACUUAACGAAGCUGGAAUUACCUUUCUCAGAAUUUCCUUCCCUGUUUGGUUCUGGGGCAGGAUGGCAAAGGAGAAAUUUGUGGAUGUGAAGGCGCCUCCAUGUUUGUGCUCUGAAGGUUGGCGCAGGGUGCCAGGUGCUGUGGCACUGCUCACACUGUUGCUGAUCUGCUGGCUCACCUGGCAGAGUGAGGGGCAACACCUUGACCCACAACUCCUCUAGCUCCUCCUUCUCCAAGUCCUGGGCCACAUCCAGCACCACUCCAUGGCCAAAGGCACCAGCUUCCCCUGCAGGGCAACCCACUAUCCAGGCUGGAAUUGUUGAGGGACAAAGGCAGGUUCCAGUUUGUCCUCAUGGGUUCCACCUGUUCAGGUGGGUUCCAGUUUGCCCUCCAUGUUCAUCUAUCCCUCGCAGCUACUGCCCCUGCUGACCUAUAGUGACUCUAGGCUCAACACGAGAUGCAGAGACAGCUGCCUGGCACCAAUUCCUCCUCUGGCUUCCACAGUCGCACAGGGUCUAACCCUUUACUAAAUGCCUCCUUCCAUAGCACUCCCAGCGCUUCCAUGUCUCUAACUCAACCCUGACUGAUAAGAACAUAUACAUAUGAAGGACUCUUGGUCUGUUUAAUGUCAUCACUUGAGAUUCCUAUACAUUUAUUCCUCUGAUGCUGACUGUCUUAGCCAUCAUGGGAUCCAUUUAUUCCAAUAAUGCUGACUGUCUCAGUGAAUAUGGAACUGGGAAAGUCACUUCAUCCUCCACGACUUCAUCUGUAAGAUGAGGGCUUGAUCUAGAUCAGCGUUUUUCAUCUUUGUCUGAUCAUUGGAAUCGCUAAGGUUCUCAUCAUGAGUACAGAACCCCAAAGCCACAGUUCAGAUCCACUGAAUCAGAAUCUUCAGAGGAGUGAUCACCAAAUCUUUAUUUCUACCAGUACUCCAGGUAAUUCUUACCAUCAGUUAAAGUUGGGGCAAGGCUGCCAGGUAUGGUUUUGUAGUUGGUGCCCAAGAGGGUAAGUGGAAGUUGGAAUCCAAUGCGUGCUUUACUCACCAAGCUAUGUGUCCUGGCCUGAAUGCACAAAGAUGACACUUCUUCAAAUUUGCACAAAGGCUCCUGGCAGCCAUCUUGGACAAGAUCAGGCUUCCACAUGAUGUGCAGUCUGGCUGCAGACCUCAGGGCAGAUGAUGCCCCUCCUUUCCUCACUGCCGUAAAAUAUCCUUUCUACUCUGCAUGAGAGGUGCUAGCUCAGGAUAGUGGAAGGGUCUCACAGGCCCUCAGGAAGUGUCAGGACACCUUAGGUUUUCCAUCAUAGAUAAAAUAAAGCCUUUCCAAAAGGAGGUAGGUACACUGGCUGCUCUUCACUGCCCCCCUCCCUGCCCCCACAUUGUCCUCAUCCUUCACUGACAUGCGCUUGGGCCCUGGUUGCUGACUGUGCAUAGUGCAUCUCCCAGUCUCUACUGCCUUCUGGUUCCUGGUUGAGUCUGGCCACUUGCAGGAGACUGAUGGAUGCGAGGAAAUGGAAGUCUGAGUAUUCCCUUACCUUUCUCUCACUCUCUUCCUGUAGGGAGUUGAAUAGU